rnacentral:ncRNA from 10 species
AUCCUUUUGCAGUUCAUAAUUGUGAUAACUGGGAGUUCAUGCGCAUGUGUGAGAUGUGCCUCCCUCAAACUUUGUUUCGACGUCAGCACAUUACCUGAUGUGAAA